UACGUAGGGUGCGAGCGUUAAUCGGAAUUACUGGGCGUAAAGCGUGCGCAGGCGGUCUGUUAAGACAGAUGUGAAAUCCCCGGGCUUAACCUGGGAACUGCAUUUGUGACUGGCAGGCUAGAGUAUGGCAGAGGGGGGUAGAAUUCCACGUGUAGCAGUGAAAUGCGUAGAGAUGUGGAGGAACACCGAUGGCGAAGGCAGCCCCCUGGGUCAAAACUGACGCUCAUGCACGAAAGCGUGGGGAGCAAACAGG
rnacentral:rRNA from 1 species